AAGAUUUUAAGUUAAAUACAUAAACUAUUAACCUUCAAAGUUAAAUAUAAUAAUAAUUAUUAAAUCUUA
rnacentral:tRNA from 1 species